UGGCGCACGGGUGCGUAACGCGUAACCAACCUACCCGAAUCUGGGGGAUAGCCCGCCGAAAGGCGGAUUAAUACCGCAUAAAACUGCAGGGCGGCAUCGUUCAACAGUUAAAGAUUUAUUGGAUUCGGAUGGGGUUGCGUGCCAUUAGCUAGUUGGGGGGGUAACGGCCCACCAAGGCGACGAUGGCUAGGGGAGCUGAGAGGCUGGUCCCCCACACGGGCACUGAGAUACGGGCCCGACUCCUACGGGAGGCAGCAGUAGGGAAUAUUGGGCAAUGGUCGAGAGACUGACCCAGCCAUGCCGCGUGCAGGAUGAAGGCUUUCUGAGUCGUAAACUGCUUUUGCCAGGGAAGAAAAAAGGGGAUGCGUCCUCUACUGACGGUACCUGGUGAAUAAGCACCGGCUAACUCCGUGCCAGCAGCCGCGGUAAUACGGAGGGUGCAAGCGUUGUCCGGAUUUAUUGGGUUUAAAGGGUGCGUAGGCGGCUUUUUAAGUCUGGGGUGAAAGCCCGUUGCUCAACAACGGAACUGCCCUGGAAACUGGAGAGCUUGAGUACAGACGAGGGUGGCGGAAUGGAUACUGUAGCGGUGAAAUGCAUAGAUAGUAUCCAGAACCCCGAUUGCGAAGGCAGCUGCCUAGACUGUAACUGACGCUGAGGCACGAAAGCGUGGGGAGCGAACAGGAUUAGAUACCCUGGAGUCCACGCCGUAAACGAUGGAUACUCGCUGGUGGCGAUAGACGGUCACUGGCUUAGCGAAAGCGUUAAGUAUCCCACCUGGGGAGUACGCUCGCAAGAGUGAAACUCAAAAGAAUUGACGGGGGCCCGCACAAGUGGUGGAGCAUGUGGUUUAAUUCGAUGAUACGCGAGGAACCUUACCUAGGCUAGAA
rnacentral:rRNA from 1 species